GUGAAUCAUCGAAUUUUUGAACGCAAAUUGCACUCCCUGGUAUUCCGGGAAGUAUGCCUGUUUGAGGGCCAGUAAAAUAAACAUCGGUGUUAUUGCUAUUAAGGGUGAUGCGUCGGAGUUGAGUCGUCUUUACCUUGGGUUUUAAGUGACAUAAAAUUAGGUACGAUUUCUGAACGUAUGUAAAUUAUCUACUUACGCUCAUGAUACCACACA
rnacentral:misc_RNA from 1 species